rnacentral:rRNA from 1 species
UGGGGAAUAUUGGACAAUGGGCGAAAGCCUGAUCCAGCCAUGCCGCGUGUGUGAAGAAGGUCUUCGGAUUGUAAAGCACUUUAAGUUGGGAGGAAGGGCAGUAAGCGAAUACCUUGCUGUUUUGACGUUACCGACAGAAUAAGCACCGGCUAACUCUGUGCCAGCAGCCGCGGUAAUACAGAGGGUGCAAGCGUUAAUCGGAAUUACUGGGCGUAAAGCGCGCGUAGGUGGUUCGUUAAGUUGAAUGUGAAAGCCCCGGGCUCAACCUGGGAACUGCAUCCGAAACUGGCGAGGUAGGGUAGGGCAGAGGGUGGUGGAAUUUCCUGUGUAGCGGUGAAAUGCGUAGAUAUAGGAAGGAACACCAGUGGCGAAGGCGACCACCUGGGCUCAUACUGACACUGAGGUGCGAAAGCGUGGGGAGCAAACAGG